rnacentral:rRNA from 1 species
AGAGUUUGAUCCUGGCUCAGGAUGAACGCUAGCGACAGGCCUAACACAUGCAAGUCGAGGGGUAACAUGAGUGCUUGCACUUGAUGACGACCGGCGCACGGGUGCGUAACGCGUAUGCAACUUACCUUGUACUGGGGAAUAGCCCGUGGAAACGCGGAUUAAUGUCCCAUAACACUACAAUUUCGCAUGGAAAAGUGGUUAAAGUUCCGACGGUACAAGAUGGGCAUGCGAGACAUUAGCUAGUUGGUGAGGUAAUGGCUCACCAAGGCGACGAUGUCUAGGGGUUCUGAGAGGAAGGUCCCCCACACUGGUACUGAGACACGGACCAGACUCCUACGGGAGGCAGCAGUGAGGAAUAUUGGUCAAUGGGCGCAAGCCUGAACCAGCCAUGUCGCGUGCAGGAAGACUGCCCUACGGGUUGUAAACUGCUUUUGUAUGGGAGGAAACGUUGGUACGUGUACCAAUUUGCCGGUACCAUACGAAUAAGGAUCGGCUAACUCCGUGCCAGCAGCCGCGGUAAUACGGAGGAUCCAAGCGUUAUCCGGAUUUAUUGGGUUUAAAGGGUGCGUAGGCGGUAGAAUAAGUCAGUGGUGAAAUCCUGCAGCUUAACUGUAGAACUGCCAUUGAUACUGUUUUACUUGAGUGUAAUUGAGGUAGGCGGAAUGUGUUGUGUAGCGGUGAAAUGCAUAGAUAUAACACAGAACACCGAUUGCGAAGGCAGCUUACUAAGUUAUAACUGACGCUGAUGCACGAAAGCGUGGGUAGCGAACAGGAUUAGAUACCCUGGUAGUCCACGCCGUAAACGAUGAUUACUCGCUGUAGGCAAUACACCGUCUGUGGCUGAGCGAAAGCAUUAAGUAAUCCACCUGGGGAGUACGUUGGCAACAAUGAAACUCAAAGGAAUUGACGGGGGCCCGCACAAGCGGAGGAACAUGUGGUUUAAUUCGAUGAUACGCGAGGAACCUUACCUGGACUUAAAUGUAGAUUGACGUAUCCAGAGAUGGAUAUUUCUUCGGACAAUUUACAAGGUGCUGCAUGGUUGUCGUCAGCUCGUGCCGUGAGGUGUCGGGUUAAGUCCCAUAACGAGCGCAACCCCUGUUGUUAGUUACCAGCACAUCAUGGUGGGGACUCUAACAAGACUGCCGGUGUAAACCGCGAGGAAGGUGGGGAUGACGUCAAAUCAGCACGGCCCUUACGUCCAGGGCUACACACGUGUUACAAUGGCCGGUACAGAGGGCAGCUACUUGGUGACAAGAUGCGAAUCUCAAAAACCGGUCUCAGUUCGGAUCGAAGUCUGCAACCCGACUUCGUGAAUCUGGAUUCGCUAGUAAUCGCAUAUCAGCCAUGAUGCGGUGAAUACGUUCCCGGGCCUUGUACACACCGCCCG